GCUGGCGGCGUGCUUAACACAUGCAAGUCGAACGAGAAAGAGUUCUUCGGAACUUGAGUAAAGUGGCGCACGGGUGAGUAACGCGUAGAUAACCUGCCCUGAUGUUUGGGAUAACCCACCGAAAGGUGGACUAAUACCGGAUAAGCUGAUUUUUCAUAAGAUUAAUCAGGAAAGAUGGCCUCUAUUUAUAAGCUAUCGCAUUUGGAGGGGUCUGCGUACCAUUAGCUUGUUGGUGGGGUAAUGGCCUACCAAGGCGACGAUGGUUAGCGGGUCUGAGAGGAUGAUCCGUCACACUGGCACUGAAACACGGGCCAGACUCCUACGGGAGGCAGCAGUGAGGAAUAUUGCGCAAUGGGGGAAACCCUGACGCAGCGACGCCGCGUGAGUGAGGAAGGCCUUCGGGUCGUAAAGCUCUGUCAAAAGGGAAGAAAUGUUAUACGGUUAAUACCCGU
rnacentral:rRNA from 1 species